UACGUAGGGUGCAAGCGUUGUCCGGAAUUAUUGGGCGUAAAGGGCUCGUAGGCGGUCCAUCACGUCGGGAGUGAAAAGCUGGGGCUUAACCCCAGUCCUGCUUCCGAUACGGGUGGACUAGAGGUAGGCAGGGGAGAACGGAAUUCCCGGUGUAGUGGUGAAAUGCGUAGAGAUCGGGAGGAACACCCGUGGCGAAGGCGGCCACCUGGGCCGACCCUGACGCUGAGGCGCGAAGGCGUGGGGAGCGAACGGG
rnacentral:rRNA from 1 species